rnacentral:snRNA from 1 species
GGACGGCCUUCCCCGAAUAGAGACGGACCGGUCUUCGGUCGAGGGUAUACGAGUAGCUGCGCUCCCCUGCUAGAACCUCCAAACAAGCUCUCAAGGUCCAUUUGUAGGAGAACGUAGGGUAGUCAAGCUUCCAAGACUCCAGACACAUCCAAAUGAGGCGCUGCAUGUGGCAGUCUGCCUUUCUAA